rnacentral:rRNA from 1 species
UACAGAGGUCUCAAGCGUUGUUCGGAUUCAUUGGGCGUAAAGGGUGCGUAGGCGGCGCGGUAAGUCGGGUGUGAAAGUCUCGGAGCUUAACUCCGAAACUGCAUUCGAUACUGCCGUGCUUGAGGACUGGAGGAGGAGACUGGAAUUUACGGUGUAGCUGGUGAAAUGCGUAGGAUAAUCGAGAGGAACACCUGCGGCGAAAGGCGGGGAUUGCCU